rnacentral:rRNA from 1 species
CCUACGGGACGCACCAGUGGGGAAUAUUGCACAAUGGGCGCAAGCCUGAUGCAGCCAUGCCGCGUGUAUGAAGAAGGCCUUCGGGUUGUAAAGUACUUUCAGUCGGGAGGAAGGUGAUGAGCUUAAUACGCUCAUCAAUUGACGUUACCGACAGAAGAAGCACCGGCUAACUCCGUGCCAUCAGCCGCGGUAAUACGGAGGGUGCAAGCGUUAAUCGGAAUUACUGGGCGUAAAGCGCACGCAGGCGGUUGAUUGAGUCAGAUGUGAAAUUCCCGGGCUUAACCCGGGAAUUGCAUCUGAUACUGGUCAGCUAGAGUCUUGUAGAGGGGGGUAGAAUUCCAUGUGUAGCGGUGAAAUGCGUAGAGAUGUGGAGGAAUACCGGUGGCGAAGGCGGUCCCCUGGACAAAGACUGACGCUCAGGUGCGAAAGCAUGGGGAGCAAACAGGAUUAGAUACCCGGGUAGUC